UGCGGAAUAGCUCAGUCGGUAGAGCGCCUCGCUGUUAACGAGGAUGCCGCAGGUUCGAGCCCUGCUUCCGCAGCCA
rnacentral:tRNA from 1 species